rnacentral:rRNA from 1 species
GACGAACGCUGGCGGCGUGCUUAACACAUGCAAGUCGAACGGUGACGAGGAGCUUGCUCCUCUGAUCAGUGGCGAACGGGUGAGUAACACGUGAGCAACCUGCCCCAGACUCUGGGAUAACAGUUGGAAACAGCUGCUAAUACCGGAUACGAGACGGAGAGGCAUCUCUACCGUCUGGAAAGUUUUUCGGUCUGGGAUGGACUCGCGGCCUAUCAGCUAGUUGGUGAGGUAAUGGCUCACCAAGGCGACGACGGGUAGCCGGCCUGAGAGGGCGACCGGCCACGACUGGGACUGAGACACGGCCCAGACUCCUACGGGAGGCAGCAGUGGGGAAUAUUGCACAAUGGGCGAAAGCCUGAUGCAGCGACGCCGCGUGAGGGAUGACGGCCUCGGUUGUAACGUCUUCUAGCAGGAGAAGACGAAGUAGACGGUACCUGCAGAAGAAGACACCGGCUAACUACGUGCCAGCAGCCGCGGUAAUAGUA